rnacentral:rRNA from 1 species
GUCGAACGAAACUUCUUUAUCACCGAGUGCUUGCACUCACCGAUAAAGAGUUGAGUGGCGAACGGGUGAGUAACACGUGGGCAACCUGCCCAAAAGAGGGGGAUAACACUUGGAAACAGGUGCUAAUACCGCAUAACCAUAGUUACCGCAUGGUAACUAUGUAAAAGGUGGCUAUGCUACCGCUUUUGGAUGGGCCCGCGGCGCAUUAGCUAGUUGGUGGGGUAAAGGCUUACCAAGGCAAUGAUGCGUAGCCGAACUGAGAGGUUGAUCGGCCACAUUGGGACUGAGACACGGCCCAAACUCCUACGGGAGGCAGCAGUAGGGAAUCUUCCACAAUGGGCGAAAGCCUGAUGGAGCAACGCCGCGUGGGUGAAGAAGGUCCUCGGAUCGUAAAACCCUGUUGUUAGAGAAGAAAGUGCGUGAGAGUAACUGUUCACGUUUCGACGGUAUCUAACCAGAAAGCCACGGCUAACUACGUGCCAGCAGCCGCGGUAAUACGUAGGUGGCAAGCGUUAUCCGGAUUUAUUGGGCGUAAAGGGAACGCAGGCGGUCUUUUAAGUCUGAUGUGAAAGCCUUCGGCUUAACCGGAGUAGUGCAUUGGAAACUGGGAGACUUGAGUGCAGAAGAGGAGAGUGGAACUCCAUGUGUAGCGGUGAAAUGCGUAGAUAUAUGGAAGAACACCAGUGGCGAAAGCGGCUCUCUGGUCUGUAACUGACGCUGAGGUUCGAAAGCGUGNGUAGCAAACAGGAUUAGAUACCCUGGUNGUCCACGCCGUAAACGAUGAAUGCUAAGUG